rnacentral:rRNA from 1 species
AUUGAACGCUGGCGGCAUGCCUAACACAUGCAAGUCGAACGGCAGCAUGACCUAGCUUGCUAGGUUGAUGGCGAGUGGCGCACGGGUGAGUAAUGCGUAGGGAUAUACCUUAAAGUGGGGGAUAACCUGGGGAAACCCAGGCUAAUACCGCAUGAGCUCUGAGGAGGAAAGCUGGGGACUGUAAGAGGCCUGGCGCUUUAAGAUUAGCCUACGUCCGAUUAGCUAGUUGGUAGGGUAAAGGCCUACCAAGGCGACGAUCGGUAGCUGGUCUGGGAGGAUGAUAAGCCACACUGGGACUGGGACACGGCCCAGACUCCUACGGGAGGCAGCAGUGGGGAAUAUUGGACAAUGGGCGCAAGCCUGAUGAAGCCAUGCCGCGUGUAUGAAGAAGGCAUUCGGGUUGUAAAGUACUUUCAGCGGGGAGGAAGGCGGUGAAGUUAAUAGCUUCACCGAUUGACGUUACCCGCAGAAGAAGCACCGGCUAACUCCGUGCCAGCAGCCGCCGUAA